GGAGAGGUGCCGGAGCGGCUGAUCGGGACGGUCUCGAAAACCGUUGUGCUCGAAAGAGUACCGGGGGUUCGAAUCCCCCCCUCUCCG
rnacentral:tRNA from 1 species